AAUCACAGUAAAGAGAUUUGAGACAAUGAGAUGCAGCGUGCUGCACACAGACAGUGCAGAUGGAAUCCAGGCUUGGAACACUGGGACAGUCUCAGGAGGCAUUUGGAAGGGCGUCAGCAGCGGAUAAGAUGGUGAAGUGCCCAGCAGCAGAUAAGGUGGCGAAGGGCCCGGCACCACUCUUUCACUGCCAUACCGGGGACCAGCGCCAUAAGCAGCACCCCUGGACCAAUUCCUCCGCCGCCGGCAUUUGCGGACCCGCCUCGUCCUGACCAACUCCGGCGAUUGGUCCUUAUACUGAGGGCGGUAGUCCAACAAAUGUUUGUUUAUAUUUUACGUUGCU